CAAAGUGUUGGUUGAAAAACUUUAAUUGAAAUUAAUGAUUUUCGCAAGUUUUCAUGUGGACUCCUCAGCAAAUAGGUCUACAAUAAUUAAAUCAGUACAUGAAGCUAUGAAACAAUUGGAGUUGAUUGCUAAGACACAUUCAGAAUUCUCGUCAGAUCGUGUAGGCCCAAAAAGAAUAGCAGGAACAUAUGAGUUAGACAAGUUAUUAAUCCCUGAUGUAAAUAUUGUGGCACUAAUGAAACAAAUAGAAUUCUUGGUGAAAGCCUAAGUACAGGGUGUGUACGAGGUCCAAAUGAGUUUGGUCUAUGAAAACUAUGGGCCUAAAUAUCUUAUUAAGGAUUGCUUAUUAUUGGCAACUCCAGAUAAAACGGGAGGAUAUAGUACAGAAUAAUCCACUCUUGUAAUAAAAUCCAUACUUAAAACAUAAAAUCUGGGAUGGAAGCAGAAUCCCAAUUUUAGGUGUUUGAAAGAUCAAGAUAGUGGUAUUCAACUAAUCGUCAGUAGGAGAAGACAAAGUUUGGGAAGAAGUUUUAGUAAUACACGAAAAAGACCGAUAAAAUACUUCAUCGCAUUAAAAUAAA
rnacentral:lncRNA from 1 species